UGCUGGUUGCUUGUCUUAGGAGGAACGGUGAACACUACUUCUGACGUCUUUGGUUAAACGCAGCCCUGAAUCCAGCUACGAAGUGAGCUCCCUUUAACCAGCGCGUCGGUUCAUUAAAAUGUGAAAAUAAUAGCCGUGUUUCGAGUUACUCCGGAACACCCGGGAUUUUUCGUAUUUAGCCACGCCGGUCACGUGAUAUGAGCAAAAUGUUCCACAUGGGUACUUCCGGUUAAUUUUGUUUACACUGGUAACAAAAUUGUUUUUGACAAAAUAUAGAUUUUGCGGCACAAACUGUCGCAAAUCAGAUAAAGGAUAGCAAGGGAUAUAUAUUUACUUGGGAAGAUGUCAAAGUUUACCUUUUCCCAAACCCGGGAAAAGCGUUCACGCAGAGGAAACGAUGGUGUCAUUUGUGUAGAAAACCACGAGCAGCCGAAAUUGAGUGCGAUUAUUACAUUCCGUGAAAGCUGAACCAACAAAGAAACAUCAUUGUUCUAGCCAGUUUGCUUAUAUUAACUUUUAGGAAAACCAAGAGGUUGAUAACAAUGGCUGAUCUGCAUAUAAUGACUGCUAGUUAUUGGCUGGUAUGCAGUGAAAGGGAGCUAAAAAGGAGUAAAAAGUUCAUAUCAGCCAGGUGAGAAUUAAUUUCUUCUUUUUUGUGUGUUAUACAUAUGUAAUUCUUUUCUUUUGCUGCUUCAAAUCUUGUGUAUUUGAAAAUUUUCAGUCUAAUAUUUGGCAAUGUUAUAGGUAGUGUGGUUUAAAUAAACCAGUGUUAAGGAAUAUCCAGUAAUGACAUGACAUCAUGAGAGUUUGGCAUACCGACAUUCAGAUGAUUAAUGAUGAAACUGAAGACCUCAAGUGAAAGGCAUGGAAAAUUAUCCUGUUCCCAUUAACCUGAAAAAGAGGAGGGAUGCCACAAUAUUGAUAAUAGACUUUUGUCAAUUUGAGAAGCAAAGAUGUAAAAAAAAAAUAAUAAAAUAAAUGAAUAAUGAUGAAAUUAUAAUUCAUGUAUUUGUUAAAAAUACUGUUCACUGUACAUACAUGUAUAUUUUUUUAACUUAUUUGGAAAUACAUGAAGUAAUUCAUAUUAAAACUGAAUGUAUGAGUUUUCAUGAUUUUUAUCAAUAAAGCUUACCAUAUUUAU